GACAGAGGAUGCAAGCGUUAUCCGGAAUGAUUGGGCGUAAAGCGUCUGUAGGUGGCUUUUUAAGUCCGCCGUCAAAUCCCAGGGCUCAACCCUGGACAGGCGGUGGAAACUACCAAGCUGGAGUACGGUAGGGGCAGAGGGAAUUUCCGGUGGAGCGGUGAAAUGCGUAGAGAUCGGAAAGAACACCGAUGGCGAAGGCACUUUACUGGGCUAUUACUAACACUGAGAGACGAAAGCUAGGGUAGCAAAUGGGGAU
rnacentral:rRNA from 1 species